UGUUCUCGUCUCAGUUGUGUGUGUUUGCUCUCAGGGCUGGAGCAGUGCCUACUCCAUAGAGUCUGUCAUCAUGCAGAUAAAUGCCACUUUAGUCAAAGGAAAAGCAAGAGUGCAGUUCGGAGCCAAUAAGAAUCAGUACAAUCUUGCCAGAGCGCAGCAGUCGUAUAAAUCGCUGGUGCAGAUCCAU